rnacentral:rRNA from 1 species
GACGAACCGUGCGAACGUUAUUCGGAAUCACUGGGCUUAAAGCGCGUGUAGGCGGGACGGCACGUCGGUCGCUGAAAUCCCCCGGCUCAACCGGGGAAGGGGCGCCGAUACGACCGUCCUGGAGGGACGUAGGGGGACCUGGAACUUCCGGUGGAGCGGUGAAAUGCGUUGAGAUCGGAAGGAACGCCCGUGGCGAAAGCGAGGUCCUGGACGUUUUCUGACGCUGAGACGCGAAAGCCAGGGGAGCAAACGGG